AGUGAACGCUGGCGGUAGGCCUAACACAUGCAAGUCGGACGGCAGCACAGUAAGAGCUUGCUCUUACGGGUGGCGAGUGGCGGACGGGUGAGGAAUACAUCGGAAUCUACUUUUUCGUGGGGGAUAACGUAGGGAAACUUACGCUAAUACCGCAUACGACCUACGGGUGAAAGCAGGGGAUCUUCGGAUCUUGCGCGAUUGAAUGAGCCGAUGUCGGAUUAGCUAGUUGGCGGGGUAAAGGCCCACCAAGGCGACGAUCCGUAGCUGGUCUGAGAGGAUGAUCAGCCACACCGGAACUGAGACACGGUCCAGACUCCUACGGGAGGCAGCAGUGGGGAAUAUUGGACAAUGGGCGCAAGCCUGAUCCAGCCAUACCGCGUGGGUGAAGAAGGCCUUCGGGUUGUAAAGCCCUUUUGUUGGGAAAGAAAAGCAGCAGGUUAAUACCCCGCUGUUCUGACGGUACCCAAAGAAUAAGCACCGGCUAACUUCGUG
rnacentral:rRNA from 1 species